GAUGAACGCUGGCGGCGUGCCUAAUACAUGCAAGUUGAGCGAACAGACGAGGAGCUUGCUCCUUUGACGUUAGCGGCGGACGGGUGAGUAACACGUAGGUAACCUACCUAUAAGACUGGGAUAACUUCGGGAAACCGGAGCUAAUACCGGAUAAUAUUUCGAACCGCAUGGUUCGAUAGUGAAAGAUGGCUUUGCUAUCACUUAUAGAUGGACCUGCGCCGUAUUAGCUAGUUGGUAAGGUAACGGCUUACCAAGGCAACGAUACGUAGCCGACCUGAGAGGGUGAUCGGCCACACUGGAACUGAGACACGGUCCAGACUCCUACGGGAGGCAGCAGUAGGGAAUCUUCCGCAAUGGGCGAAAGCCUGACGGAGCAACGCCGCGUGAGUGAUGAAGGUCUUCGGAUCGUAAAACUCUGUUAUUAGGGAAGAACAAACGUGUAAGUAACUGUGCACGUCCUGACGGUACCUAAUCAGAAAGCCACGGCUAACUACGUG
rnacentral:rRNA from 1 species